UACGUAGGGGGCUAGCGUUGUCCGGAUUUAUUGGGCGUAAAGAGCGUGUAGGCGGCCAGGUAGGUCUGCUGUGAAAACUCGAGGCUCAACCUCGAGACGUCGGUGGAAACCAUCUGGCUAGAGUCCGGAAGAGGAGAGUGGAAUUCCUGGUGUAGCGGUGAAAUGCGCAGAUAUCAGGAAGAACACCAACGGCGAAGGCAGCUCGCUGGGACGGUACUGACGCUGAGACGCGAAAGCGUGGGGAGCGAACAGG
rnacentral:rRNA from 1 species